rnacentral:rRNA from 1 species
UACUCUUCGGGGUUGUAGGACUGCAAUGUGGACUCAAAGAUUAUAGAAGAAUGAUUUGGGAAGAUCAGCCAAAGAGAGUAAUAGCCUCGUAUUUAAAAUAGUCUUUGUACUUAGCAGUAUCCUGAGUACGGCGGGACACGUGAAAUCCCGUCGGAAUCUGGGAGGACCAUCUCCCAACCCUAAAUACUCCCUAGUGACCGAUAGUGAACCAGUACCGUGAGGGAAAGGUGAAAAGCACCCCGGGAGGGGAGUGAAAUAGAACCUGAAACCGUGUGCCUACAACAAGUUCGAGCCCGUUAAUGGGUGAGAGCGUGCCUUUUGUAGAAUGAACCGGCGAGUUACGUUAUGAUGCGAGGUUAAGUUGAAGAGACGGAGCCGUAGGGAAACCGAGUCUGAAUAGGGCGCCUUAGUAUCAUGACGUAGACCCGAAACCAUGUGACCUACCCAUGAGCAGGUUGAAGGUGCGGUAAGACGCACUGGAGGACCGAACCAGGGCACGUUGAAAAGUGCUUGGAUGACUUGUGGGUAGCGGAGAAAUUCCAAACGAACUUGGAGAUAGCUGGUUCUCUCCGAAAUAGCUUUAGGGCUAGCGUCGACAUUAGAGAUUCUUGGAGGUAGAGCACUGUUUGGGUGAGGGGUCCAUCCCGGAUUACCAAUCUCAGAUAAACUCCGAAUGCCAAUGAAUUAUGGUCGGCAGUCAGACUGCGAGUGCUAAGAUCCGUAGUCGAAAGGGAAACAGCCCAGACCACCAGCUAAGGUCCCAAAAUAAUUGUUAAGUGGAAAAGGAUGUGGGGUUGCACAGACAACUAGGAUGUUAGCUUAGAAGCAGCUAUUCAUUCAAAGAGUGCGUAAUAGCUCACUAGUCGAGUGACCCUGCGCCGAAAAUGUACCGGGGCUAAAACAAUUUACCGAAGCUGUGGAUACCUUUAUAGGUAUGGUAGGAGAGCGUUCUAUGUGUGAUGAAGGUAUACCGUGAGGAGUGCUGGAACGCAUAGAAGUGAGAAUGCCGGUAUGAGUAGCGAAAGACAGGUGAGAAUCCUGUCCACCGUAAGACUAAGGUUUCCAGGGGAAGGCUCGUCCGCCCUGGGUUAGUCGGGACCUAAGGAGAGACCGAAAGGUGUAUCCGAUGGACAACAGGUUGAUAUUCCUGUACUAGAGUAUGUAGUGAUGGAGGGACGCAGUAGGCUAACUAAAGCAGACGAUUGGAAGAGUCUGUCUAAGCAGUGAGGUGUGAAUUGAGUCAAAUGCUUAAUUCUAUAACAUUGAGCUGUGAUGGGGAGCGAAGUUUAGUAGCGAAGUUAGUGACGUCACACUGCCAAGAAAAGCUUCUAGCGUUUAACCAUACUCUACCCGUACCGCAAACCGACACAGGUAGUCGAGGCGAGUAGCCUCAGGUGAGCGAGAGAACUCUCGUUAAGGAACUCGGCAAAAUGACCCCGUAACUUCGGGAGAAGGGGUGCUGACUUUAAGUCAGCCGCAGUGAAUAGGCCCAAGCAACUGUUUAUCAAAAACACAGCUCUCUGCUAAAUCGUAAGAUGAUGUAUAGGGGGUGACGCCUGCCCGGUGCUGGAAGGUUAAGAGGAGUGCUUAGCGUAAGCGAAGGUAUGAAUUGAAGCCCCAGUAAACGGCGGCCGUAACUAUAACGGUCCUAAGGUAGCGAAAUUCCUUGUCGGGUAAGUUCCGACCCGCACGAAAGGCGUAAUGAUUUGGGCACUGUCUCAACGAGAGACUCGGUGAAAUUUUAGUACCUGUGAAGAUGCAGGUUACCCGCGACAGGACGGAAAGACCCCAUGGAGCUUUACUGCAGUUUGAUAUUGAGUGUCUGUACCACAUGUACAGGAUAGGUAGGAGUCUAAGAGAUCGGGACGCCAGUUUCGAAGGAGACGCUGUUGGGAUACUACCCUUGUGUUAUGGCCACUCUAACCCAGAUAGGUGAUCCCUAUCGGAGACAGUGUCUGACGGGCAGUUUGACUGGGGCGGUCGCCUCCUAAAAGGUAACGGAGGCGCCCAAAGGUUCCCUCAGAAUGGUUGGAAAUCAUUCGCAGAGUGUAAAGGUAUAAGGGAGCUUGACUGCGAGAGCUACAACUCGAGCAGGGACGAAAGUCGGGCUUAGUGAUCCGGUGGUUCCGUAUGGAAGGGCCAUCGCUCAACGGAUAAAAGCUACCCUGGGGAUAACAGGCUUAUCUCCCCCAAGAGUUCACAUCGACGGGGAGGUUUGGCACCUCGAUGUCGGCUCGUCGCAUCCUGGGGCUGUAGUCGGUCCCAAGGGUUGGGCUGUUCGCCCAUUAAAGCGGCACGCGAGCUGGGUUCAGAACGUCGUGAGACAGUUCGGUCCCUAUCCGUCGCGGGCGUAGGAAAUUUGAGAGGAUCUGCUCCUAGUACGAGAGGACCAGAGUGGACUUACCGCUGGUGUACCAGUUGUCUUGCCAAAGGCAUCGCUGGGUAGCUAUGUAGGGAAGGGAUAAACGCUGAAAGCAUCUAAGUGUGAAACCCACCUCAAGAUGAGAUUUCCCAUGAUUAUAUAUCAGUAAGAGCCCUGAGAGAUGAUCAGGUAGAUAGGUUAGAAGUGGAAGUGUGGCGACACAUGUAGCGGACUAAUACUAAUAGCUCGAGGACUUAUCCAA